rnacentral:rRNA from 1 species
UGGGGAAUAUUGCACAAUGGGCGCAAGCCUGAUGCAGCCAUGCCGCGUGUAUGAAGAAGGCCUUCGGGUUGUAAAGUACUUUCAGCGGGGAGGAAGGUGUUGAGGUUAAUAACCUCAGCAAUUGACGUUACCCGCAGAAGAAGCACCGGCUAACUCCGUGCCAGCAGCCGCGGUAAUACGGAGGGUGCAAGCGUUAAUCGGACUUACUGGGCGUAAAGCGCACGCAGGCGGUCUGUCAAGUCGGAUGUGAAAUCCCCGGGCUCAACCUGGGAACUGCAUUCGAAACUGGCAGGCUAGAGUCUUGUAGAGGGGGGUAGAAUUCCAGGUGUAGCGGUGAAAUGCGUAGAGAUCUGGAGGAAUACCGGUGGCGAAGGCGGCCCCCUGGACAAAGACUGACGCUCAGGUGCGAAAGCGUGGGGAGCAAACA